rnacentral:rRNA from 1 species
GUGCCAGUAGCCGCGGUAAUACGUAGGGUGCGAGCGUUGUCCGGAAUUAUUGGGCGUAAAGAGCUCGUAGGCGGUUUGUCGCGUCGGCCGUGAAAACCUGGGGCUUAACUCUGGGCCUGCGGUCGAUACGGGCAGACUUGAGUUCGGUAGGGGAGACUGGAAUUCCUGGUGUAGCGGUGAAAUGCGCAGAUAUCAGGAGGAACACCGGUGGCGAAGGCGGGUCUCUGGGCCGAUACUGACGCUGAGGAGCGAAAGCGUGGGGAGCGAACAGGAUUAGAUACCCUGGUAGUCC